GCCUGGGUGGCUCAGUCGGUUGAGCGUCUGACUUCGGCUCAGGUCACGAUCUCGCGGUCCGCGAGUUCGAGCCCCGCGUCGGGCU
rnacentral:tRNA from 1 species